GUCCCUUUAAUCCUAAUUCUUCAGGUCUCCACAUCCUGCGUUAUCAGCCAGAGAGCCUGAGGCCCUGGAUCGUUGCCCGCAACAGGCAGGAAGGGGAGAAGGCCCCCCAGCAUUUCAGAGCAGGACCAUAUACUCGGGGUUCUGUGCUGAACCCCAUAUUUUCUGGCAUCGCCCCUUGCAAUGGCCCCAGUUCUGCACACACCUUGGGACCCCAAGGGCUGAGCGGAGCCCUGUGUCCUGGGGAGUCCGAUGCCCACACUGACACAAAGGUUCCCUCCUCUCUCCUGUAGGGGGCGCUCCAGGGGGGAAGUGGGCGUUGCAGGAAAUGUAAUGCCUCAGUCAGACUGACUAGGAACCAUGGGAGCUCAGAAUUCUCCUCCUGUUUCUGAUGCCCAGAAGCCUGUUCUAGGAGAGAACUCAUUCCUUCCCAAUCCCGUCAUGGAUUCCUGGCUCUUAUGUUGGGACACACAGAACCUGAAGUCAGGGAGACCCCCAGCCACCAGGUCACAGAGAUGGGGACGAGAGUAAUCCUGAGACGUGACCCAAUUUAUGGGUUCUGUACAUUGGUACAGACAGAUCCUGGGACAGAAAGUGGAGUUUCUAGUUUUAUUCUACAAGGAUAAUCUCUUGGAGAAGUCUGAAACAAUCAAGGAUCGAUCCUCAGGUCAAAGGCCUGAUGGAUCAUUCUCCACUCUGCGGAUCCAGCCCACAGAGCUGGGAGAUUCAGCCACGUACCUCUGUGCCAGCAGCUCAGCCACAGCCUUGCACAGACACCUCCAGCCUGCACACAAACCCUCAUGCAUCUGCCUCUUUUCCAGCUACCAGAAUGCUUUUGCUGCCCAAGAAAGUCUGAUUUGACUUGUUUUUUCAGCUGUUUCCAAAUAGAUAUCUGAAAUUUAAUCACCAAAGUAGUUUAUCUUUGGCAGGAAUGGCCAGGGAGCAUUUUUUGCCAAAUUUUUAUAGACACUACAGGGCUUGACUGUGGCCUCCAAAGAUGGGAGCGUUGUUGCCCGGGAAAAGACCAUCACAUGGCCUAUGUCUUCUCUUUACUUCCUUUUGCAUCUUGGAUUUUGUUUUGUUUUAGUAGCUUAGAAAAAACCAUUUUAACUCAUAGAAUCAGAAAUGGUUCUCGAGGAAGGGCUUUAGUAUUUCCGUAAGAGUAUAGAGGAUUUCCAACAGUGAAUCUUCAGAAGGACGUGCAGUUCAGCAUAAGGGCCUGGACUGUUGAGUCUUUCCCAGUAAGUACUUGAUGCGUUUGGGGAAAUGCUGUUAACUCACAUGAGAAUGAGUUAAGAGAACAGUAACAAUGGAGUCCGCUAUUGGGACAAGGCCAACAGAGGUCUAAACCAGUGAGAGAACCACCAGAAUAUAGCAGGACAGGGCAGGAUCGAAUUCAGCAGCAAAAAUCAAGUAGCAUCUAGAAGCAGAGCAUGAAUGAACUUGUCACCCUGAACUUGACAUGGGGCAUCCAGAUUAACUUCCUGGGUUUUGAGUAAGAUCUCAGUGUUCUUGAAGGCCUGGAGCAGGAAAGGCAGAGUGAAGACUUCAAUAGAAAAGAAUGAAUUUCCUCAUAAUAAGUCAGGAUGAGCUCAAGCAAUGAAUAGAGGCGAAAAAAGUGUGAGCAGAUCAUAUCAGUUAUAAACACAUGAAAUAUUCAUUUACUCAAGUUAUAUCCAUGCCAGCACCACCAUCUACAGGGUCUUCUACAGGGUCAUCUACAGCACCACCAUCUACAGAAUGACUUUCCUCCUGACAUGAAUCCCACCAACUUUGCAGACCAAAGGAUCCCAUUUUACAGCUAAGGAAAUGAAAUCAUGGACCUGUAGUGGUGGGAUCCAUUCUUGUUUUCAUGUACUACGUCCUUCUACAAGGUAGAAGCAUCUUACCUUGUAGAAAUGAAGAAAGGACCUAGUAAAGAUUUGGCUAAGGGGCUAGCUCAGAUAUAAUACCCUCAAGCUGAGGAGAUACUUUCUAGGAUGUGGUAUGACUUGUACAGAGGGCUGAGAUAUGGAACUAUGUACUCAAUCCAUGAAUCCAGAAGCCAAAGGGUGGGGGGAGGAUGGGUAUCCCUCUCAUUACCACCCCCAGUGAUCCAGCUGCAAAUCCAGGCUUCUUUUCCCUGUAUUUUUAGGGUCUUCUAGAUAAAAAGUUCUGAUUCUUUAAGACAGGGGUGCUUCCACCACAGGACAUAUGAACAUAAACUAUGACUGUACCUGGUCAUUUGGGGCUCCUUUUGAUGGAAGCCCAAUAGGUAAGGAUGGAGGUAUUGAUCUUGACUAUCAUGAGGUGACAGAGUUGCUCCUACAUAAUGGAAACAGGGAAAGGUUUACCUGGAAUUCAGAGAACUAGUUCAAACAUCUCUUGGUGCCUAAAUUCCUGGUGAUAAUGAAAGUUCUGCAACUGCAACCAUUUUGGCCUGACAAAGUAAAUGUACCUAAGGGACUCAAAACCCUCAGAGACGAAUGUCUGGGUCACCCCACAAAACAAACAUCUUAGACCACAGAAGUGCUAAGCAAAGUUGGAGAAAUCUAGAAUUGGUGAUAAGGGAGAUAAUAAAUCUCAGUAAUGGCUUUGUGUACAGUAAGAGCAGCAGUCCUAUAGCCCUAACCCUGUAUUUGUACAGAUUGCAGCUGAACCCCACCUUGAAGACCUUAUUAUUUGGACUUGAAACAAUGUAGGGUGUAGGCUAUUUGAAAUGCCUCGAUUGUAUCACCACCUAUCUUCCUGGCUCCCCCCCUGAUUCCAGCCACAACUAUUUCAUGCAGCUAUUCCAAGCAGACAUUGACCCCUUCAUAUGGAUUGAACCUCCUCUUAAAUAUGGGCAGUGUAUCUAGCUUUCUUCCUGAAGUGCUCUGUGGCUGUGGUUGAGACACAUGAAUGGCCUACUAGAAGCUUAUACAUGCACGACCCAGAAGUGUCAGGGUGUUAAUGCUCUAUGGGACAAUCCUCCACCGAUGGGGGGAUGAGAACGAAUAAAUAAAGCUUUGUGUCUGUCUCAGACUCCCUAGAAAGUUCUAGAUUGACGAGCAGCCAUUUAUCUAUAAUGAUGGCCCAAUUCAUAUACAUAUUUUUCAUAUUGUCCAUCCUUUUUGUUUCUGUGCAUGAUUUGGCCUCGAUAUCUCCAUCUGACUUAUCUUCCACUUUUCCUAUUCUUUCCAGCUGUAUCUGUUCUGCUUUUAACCCCAUAUAUUGAAUUGUUAAUCAUAGGUAUUUUGUAUAUUUUGUUUCUACAGUCUCCAUUUAAAUGUUUACUAUAGUUUCCAGUUGUCCACUAAAAUUCUCCAUUUGUCAUUCACUUUGUUGAAUAUAUUAUCGACCAGUUAUUUUAAUAUCAGUGUCUGACAACUCCAUCUGAAUCAUUUUGGCUCUGUUUCUUUUUUUUUUUUUUUUGUAAUUUUUUUUAAUGUUUAUGUAGUUUUGAGAGACAGAGAGAAACAGAGCACGAGUGGGGAAGGAGGAGAGAGACAGGGAGACACAGGAUCCGAAGCAGGCUCCAGGCUCUGAGCUGUCAGCACAGAGCCCGAUGUGGGGCUCCAACCUACGAACCAUGAGAUCAUGACCUGAGCCGACAGCGGCGCUUAACCGACUGAGACACCCAGCCGCCCCUGUUUCUUUUUUUUUAAGUUCGUUUUAUUUAUUUUGAGAGAGAGAGAGAUAGAGAGCAAGUGGGGGAGGGGCAGAGAGAGAGGGAGACAGAAUCCUAAGCGGGCUCCAUUCUGUCAUCACAAAAUCCAUUGGGGGCUCAAAAUCACAAACCAUGAGAUCGUGACCUGAGCUGAAGCCAAGAGUCAGAUGCUUAACCAACUUAGCCACCCAGGCACCCCUUGGGUCUUUUUCUUUUGUUGGUUUUCUCUUCUUGCUUUUGGCCAUGUGAUGUUGUUUCCUCACACAAUAGAUAAUGUGUUUGAAAGCUAGAUAUUGUAUAUGAAAAACUAUAGAUAUAAUCUCAAGUACUGAAUGGUAUAUUUUCCUGUAGAGAGGAUUCCUUUUUGCUUAAGCUAGGAUAUAUUGGAAGAGGCAAAUCUUUUUUUUUUUUUAAUUUUUAAUGUUUAUUUAUUUUUGAGAGAGAGGGAGACAGACAAAGUGUGAACAAGGGAGGAGCAGAGAGAGGGAGACACAGAAUCCGAAACAGGCUCUGAGCUGUCAGCACAGAGCCCGACGCCGGGCCCGAACUCACAAACGGUGAGAUCAUGACCUGAGCCGAAGUCAGACGCUCAACCGACUGAGCCACCCAGAUGCCCCCAGAUCUUCUUACUCUGGUUGAUAAUUGAGCUGGAUUGAAGCUAAGCUUUAGUUUUUUUGAUGGCUGUUCACUUUUGCUCCUAGUAUGUGAUGAUUUAGGUUCCAAACUAAACGUCUGGAGUAUUUUUACUUUAUUAAAGUAUAAUUUGCAUAACAUAAUAUUUACCUGUUUCAAGUGUACAACUCAGUGACUUUAAAUAAAUUUAUGCACUGGCCAACUAUCACCAUGAAUCA